CUGUUAUACUUUCCUGAUGUACAAUUAAGUUUAGGCUCAUGGUGUCUUAAUGCUGUGAUAAUGUCCUUAAGGUGCAAUGGAAUGUUCUUGCUGAGUUCUUGGACAUAACAUACCUGUUGGAGGUGAGGACAACACCUUCAAAGAUACGAUAGAAGACAUGGGGGACGAAGUAGGCGAGGAGGUGGGAUGGAUGCAUGAUACACAGUCCAGGGGCACUAGAGCUUGUUAGCAACUUGUGUUCCUUGAGGGUUAUGUGGUUGUAUGUAGGAGACUAUUUGUUUUCUCAUGUUGAUUCGGGUUUAUGAAAAUUUUCACUCAGAAAGAUAAAAUGUUGAGUUUUGAUGUUGGUAAGCAAUGAAAUAUUCUUUAUGUGUGA